rnacentral:lncRNA from 1 species
CCUCAACAGGUUUACUGGCUGGUGUAAGAGUGUGAGUUUAGUGGAAUUAGGACAUAGCCAUGGGGUGCAGAGUCAGAGAGACGAGAGCUCUGUUACGUGUCCUGGUGAAAUGAAGGUACCUAAAACAGUGUAGGCACUCAGAGUAACAGUUCUUACUAUUACCAACAUCAUCAACAUCACCAUCACUAACACCACCAUAAACAUCAUCACCACCAUCACCGUCAUCAUCCACCAUCACCACCAUCAAUAUCACAGUCAUCACCAUCAUCAUCAUCAUCAUCAUCACCAUCAUCACUGUCAUCAUCACCAUCAUCAUCAUCAGUCAUCACCAUCAUAAGGGUCAUCACCAUCAACAUCAACAUCAUCACCACCAUCAACAUCACCAUCAUUACAAUCAACACCACCACCAUAUCCAUCACCACCAUCAAUAUCAUCACAGUCAUUACCAUCAUCACCAUCACCAUCAUCAUCACCAUCACCAUCACUGUGAUCAUCACCACCAUCAGCAGCAGCACCACUAUUAUUAUUAUGGUGCUGGUAUGAAAGACUUUCUCAGGAAAUACUUAGCCUUCACAUAUAAUUUUCAUCUCAUAAAUAAUGCAGGAUGCACAGAAGUCCCCCGGAGGAGCACAGGGCAAUGCUAUUCCCAACUCUCUACCACAAGUGGUGGUCUUUCUCAUAAUGAGGACAUAAUCUGCAAAUAGUGAAAGAUUCUGGUAACUUCAGGAUGCUGAGGUC